rnacentral:lncRNA from 1 species
UCCUGGCCUCAAGUGAUCCACCUGCCUCAGCCUCUCAAAGUUGUUUUACUUCUUUGGUGUAUGUAUUUAUAGGCUUAGUAAAGCAAAGUCAGGAAAUUUCCUUUUUCCAGCAAAAACAUGAAAUUUAAAAGCUUGAGGCACAUGAUAAAAAUUAGCUGGCAAUAAAGAUUUUAUAACUAAAGUCUCCUUAUUUGGCAAUUAACUGAGUCAACAUUUUCAGCCAAUAUUACAAAAACAAAACUUUCAGAGGACUAUUUAUGAACUUGAGGCUACUUUCUUCACAUUUUUAUAAACAAUCAUCUUUUAGAUGACUGUGGUUUUCCCUCUAGGUAAGGAGUUGCAGGUGCAAACAGGAUGUCUUAGCAAUUUACCUUCUUGAAAUCUUGGAAGUUGUAGGAUUUGACUUCAUCAUCUAGCAUCUGGCUUCCAGUUUGCAGGUCCACCUUCUCCAUGGAUGCUGCAAAUUAGAAUGUCUUCACUAAGCAGAGGGUCUCUUUGGUGCUCAAAGAUACUACUAACUGAUUUGCCAAUGCUUGAGGACCUCACUUAAGGCACCUCUGAUCACAGCCUAAGAGCAUGUAAGGUUCUCUGGAAGGAUUUGAGGCCUGUAGUCAGAAUAAAGUUCCCACUUGCUGCUAAACGGAAGAAGAAAUGCGAGCGAAGGUGGGGAAAAGCCCCUUAUAAAACCGUCGGAUCUCGUGAGAACGCACUCACUAUCACGAGGACAGCUUGAGG